AACACAGAGUCUGAUAACUUCUCC
rnacentral:siRNA from 1 species